rnacentral:rRNA from 1 species
AACGAACGCUGGCGGCAUGCCUAACACAUGCAAGUCGAACGAACCCUUCGGGUUAGUGGCGCACGGGUGCGUAACACGUGGGAAUCUGCCCUUUGCUUCGGAAUAACAGUUAGAAAUGACUGCUAAUACCGGAUGAUGUCGUAAGACCAAAGAUUUAUCGGCAAAGGAUGAGCCCGCGUAGGAUUAGGUAGUUGGUGGGGUAAAGGCCUACCAAGCCGACGAUCCUUAGCUGGUCUGAGAGGAUGAUCAGCCACACUGGGACUGAGACACGGCCCAGACUCCUACGGGAGGCAGCAGUGGGGGAUAUUGGACAAUGGGCGAAAGCCUGAUCCAGCAAUGCCGCGUGAGUGAUGAAGGCCUUCGGUGUAAAGGCUCUUUUACCUAGGGAUGAUAAUGACAGUACCUGGAGAAUAAGCUCCGGCUAACUCCGUAGCCA